GCUGGAGAGAUCUGAGGUUGUCCCGGUUGCAGGUGGGAAUUUUCUUGACUCAAAGUUGUCCUGAGGGCAGAAACGUUUGUGAUUGGUUCAAUCUGACAACCAAUCGCAAGAGAGGAGAGAAUUGCAGAGGCGGGGCCACCAUUUUGAAAAUUCCCACAAAUAUUCCCACCGGUGCGCAGCCAAAGCCAAGAGCAACUGGUUAUCAUUUUAACGGUGCGCAGCCAAGAGGAACUGCAAGAGGAACUGCAACUGAACUGGAAAUGGUUAUCAUUUCAAAGUAAGUUUGUAAAAACAAAAAUUUAAUUUUCUUGAAAAUGGAGCAUUGUAUGUACAGCUAUGUGUGAUUUUCUUUCUGCCCUCGAAAUCAUAGUAUAAUGGUGCAGCUUGUAGCUUAAGGGUAGGCUAGCCUACUGUUUCAGAAGCAAGCUAGUGUUAUAGCUUGCAUUAAAAUGUUGCAGUGGCUGUUGCCAGCGGUUCUUCUACAAAAAUGUAGAAGAACAAGAUAAUUCAGAAAAACGUCACCUUUUCAGUAUUAAUGAGCUAGCUAAAAAUAGUAUGUGUGCCCAUACAUGUAAACCAUAAGCGCUAGCUAAGCUAGCUAGUCAAGCUAAUCAGGUGAGCUAGAAAGCUUGUUUAAGUACAUUGCAAUAAGCUUUACUGUACUCAUAUUCAAAAAAUCCAUGACUAUUUAGGGCGUUGUAGUCUGAUUUAUAAAUUUGGCUUUUCUUCUUGACUGUUUAGUCUCAUCUGUUCCCAGGGCAGAGACCAUUAUUUUCCACAAUUUUGUCCCAGGGCAGGUGAAUCCCUCCUGGUCUCAGGGCAGAAGUCGUAGUUUUCUCUUCUCAGGGCAACGUAGUUGGACAAAAGGGAGUCAACUGUCUUCUCUGGUCUCAGGGCAGAAGUUGUCUGAGGGCAGAUGAAUCCCUCCUGGUCUCAGGGCAGAAAGAUAUUUCUAGAUUUUGGCUUUUCUGCAUGACUUUUUAGUCUCAUCUGGUCUCAGGGCAGAAAGAUAUUUCUAGAUUUUGGCUUUUCUUCAUGACUUAAACAGUCAUCUGGUCCCAGGGCAGAGACCAUCGAUUCCCACAAUUUUGUCCCAGGGCAGGUGAAUCCCUCCUGGUCUCAGGGCAGAAGUCGUAUUUUUCUGUUCUCAGGGCAACAAAGGGUCAGCUGUUUUCUCUGGUCUCAGGGCAGAAGUUGUCUGAGGGCAGGUGAAUCCCUCCUGGUCUCAGGGCAGAAAGAUAUUUCUAGAUUUUUCCUCAGGCCUCUCAGGUCUGCCCUGAUCCCAGGCUACCCUGCCCUGGCUUAGAAUUAGUUUGAGGCCAGUGUCUUUUCCUCCAUUUAAGUUUCGCCUCACGUAUGUAAGUAUCAUAGUCAUAGGUUGUCAUAAGUAUCCAAUUUAAUGCUUCAGGAGAAAUACAUGUUUUUAAUUUUUGUCUUUUGUCUUUGCCUGUAAAGGGAAACUUAACCAAGCCAAAUGAACAAGCCAGCCUGGGACAGAGGCAAUUAAUAGUCAGGCUAUGCGCCUGAUUUUGGAGGGCAGCUCCAGGGCCAUGAGUACUUAUUUCUUAAAAAAAAACAUUCUUAAAGGAGCCAGUGCCGUCUUCAGGCCCUACUUGCUGGGAGAGUGCCACUGGACCCUCUUUCAUUGCAACUUGAAAGAGGGAACUAUUACCUACAUUGACUCCUUGGGGGAGCAACCACAGCGUUGCUUCCAAAUAAUUGAAAAUUGGAGCUUAUUUGCUGCUAGGAGAGGCUGCCAAGGGCCCUAAAAGAUUAUGACGAGGGACCAUGACUUACAAAACGACUCUGUGUCAUGUGGAGUGUUCUCAAUAAUGUUUGCAGAAAUGGUCCUCCAGGGACAACAAGGGCACCUCCAAUGCCUCCCCAUCGCUCAAGAGCGGGAGAGACUUGGGACUUUGUUGUUUAACUCCCUUGGUAAGUAGUAGACAUUUGUACGGUAUAGGUGCUCCUUAUUGAGCUCUGCUGGCUAACUGUAGCUGCCUGCAUUUGAUGCUUCCUUUCCUUCCUUUCUCUCUAUCACUCUCUUUCCCUCUCUCUC